rnacentral:lncRNA from 1 species
CCCGACAAGCUUAGGCCUGCUGCAACAGUCUAGGUCAUGAGUUCUAAGCACUUCUUCAGCGGCUUCUCUCGAUGAGACCACAGUUAUAGGGACAAACCCAAAGUGAAGAAGCAUCACAGGUCCGUAUCUUUCGGCGAGAUGUUGAAGUGACCUGUGAGGCAAUUCUCCAAUCUGAUGUAAGUUCCCGAUGACCGGAAACUUGGGAGGGCUUGGAGGAAGAUUCCAUUUUGAUCGUUUGAUUUUCUUGGCAAAAAAGAUUAACGAAACGAAGGUGAUGAGAAAAACACAGAGGAAAGAGAUCGCCAUUUUUUAUUUGGUUAUCGAUAAACUGAAAAUGAUAUUGCUCUGUUUAUUUUCCAUUAAUAGUUCAACACGGCAACUCGAGAUCUAGAAGUAUCCCAUACAAGUCUCGGUUAAAAAACCAACACUUCAAUUAUUAGAAAAAGCCAAUGGUCUAGUGGUUAAGAGCAAAACAUCUCAUCAGUAUAGUAUUUAUAUUUUAAUAUUAUUUUCAUUAACUUUUAUUAAUAUAUUUAUUAACUUUUUCAUUAACAUCUUAAAUAUAAUUAUCAUUUUAUUAUGUUAUUUAGUUUUAAACAUAUCAAAUAACAAUUAAAACAAUAUUUAUUUAAUAUUUUGCAUUUACUUUAAUUAAUAUAUACUAAAAUAAUGUUAAUAUAUAAUUUAAACUUAUACAUAAUGGAGUUAAAUAUAAAGAUAAUUUUAUUUUAUGAUUUAUAAAAAAAUACAAAAGAGGAAUAUAUAAACUAUCAAAUUGGUGUAUUGGAAUAAAGGUAAUAAAAUUUAGAAUUUGUAAAAAUUAAAUAGAAACCACAUUAAAAAUACAUGAGUCGUGGAUCUAUCAAAUAAGAAACUUUACAUUGGGUUAUCACCAUUUUAAAUUAUAUAAUAUUAUUAUCAUUUUUCUUACAUAUUAUAUUGUAUAUUCAAUAUCAUUAAAAUGCGUAAUAUUUUAGUGUUAAUAAAGAUAUACUUAGAAUUGAGAGUUUUUUAUUAGUAUAUAAAGCCACUUUUUUUUAGCAAAGUCGAUUUGGGAAUAACCAAGAUUCGGGAAGAGAAAGUUGGCCAACACUAUUGAGUAUGACAACUAGGUGGGGUUGAAAAUGGAGAUAUAGAAACGUUUUUGGGAAAAUAGGGAAAUACCGUGAUAGAAUUCAGUUCGUCAAAGAUAUAGCAGCGGAGGUCAAAAAAGCUUUUAAUGUUACAAGAAGCAGCACAAACAGGGGAUGUCGGGUUGAGAGGUUGAUCGGUUGGAAAAGGCCGGGUGAAGGCUAGGUUAAGGUGUCCACGGACGGGGCUUCACAUGGAAACCCAGGACCAACCACAGCUGGAGACGUAAUGCAGGAUAUACUAAAGAUGAAAAGCUAAAAACAAUCAAACUUUAUAACUAAACUUUAUAAAACAUUUUAAACAUUUAUGAUAUUCAAUUUUUAUGAAGUUUCAAAUAUUAGAAAUAUUUAAAAUUUAUACGAAGUUUAAGUAUUACAAAUAUUUAUAAAAUAAAAUUAAUACGAGACGGUAUAUUACGAGUGAGAUCCUAGAUAUAACAAUAAAAAUAGAAUUACGAAGUUUCGGUCGAUAAUUGUAUUUUGCUUGUUAAAUCUAUGAUUUCACCUAUUGUAUAUCAUCUCGUAUUAAUAACGACUUAAACUUAUCUCACCAUAUAACCAUAUUCCCUGAAAUUAAACAUUAGUGUCAUUUUUUGUAUUAAGUUCAAAUAUUAUACUUAAACACUUCAAAUAAACAAUAGUGACAAAAUAAAUAUAACUCAAUUUUUUGUAUAAAAUAUUAUCAUGUGGUAUAUCGCAGGUUGAUUUCUAAUAGUUUCAUAUAAGUUUAGUAGUUUCAUCUAAAUGAUGCAUUUUGAGGUACAAAUAUGAAGAUUAAAACAAGACCUCUUUUAUUUUUGUUAAUGACUAAACUUCUAUUUGCAUGAUAUUUUAUAUUCGCUUGCUAAUAGUGUGAAUAGUAUCUUUGAAAUCAGUGAUUUAAUCGAUAAAACCAUUUAUCGAAAUAUAUAAAAACUGAUUUAACGAACACAUAUAUUCAAAUUGUUGACAAAAAAAAAAAAUAUUUCAAACUCUGGGAAAAAAUGUCUGACUUUCUUUUGGUAGUAUUAAACGGUAUAAAUUAUUAAUACCAUUGCCUUGGAAUGCUAUAUUUGGAUUUAAGAUAAAACUCGAAUUGACUUUUCAUAUUAAUAUUCAUAGAAAAAGUGACGUCAAAACUAUAUUAUUCUAGAAAAGGUGAUGUCAUCAAGUUGAUAUAAAAAGUGAUGUCAUCAAAUAAAUAUCUUCUGAUUUCAUAUGUAAGAUUAUAUAAUCGAUAACAUAUUAUGAUGUAUCACACUAUUAUUCUUUUUUAUGUUUGUCGCUAAACGUUUAAGUGGUUGGAUAAUGGCUAGCCGUAUAACAUGUAGGCCAUUUGGCAUGCGAUUUUGUUUCAGUUAUAUUAAAUAAAUAAUUUAAAUAAAAAAUAAAAGAGUAUGUUAGUAAAAUAGUUAUUUUUCAAAAUAUAAUUUAAAAAGUAGUUAUUUUAUUAUUUAUAAUUUUAAAAGUAGCCAUUUUUCACUAUUUGAUUUGUAUAAAAAAAUUCGUACAAUACAAUUAAUAUACAAAUCUAAAUUUACAGUAUGUAUAUUUAUGUAUAUUUAGACAUUAUAAAUAUUAUACAAAUCUAAGUGUAUGAAACAAAUAAUGAAAAUGAUUAUUUUAUCAAUUAUGAAUAGUAUAAGUUACCACUUUUCCUUCUGAAAAAAGAAACUAUUUUCAACUUUUCCAAUAAAAAAACAAACAAACGUUUAGGCCAUUCUGUCUCUGCGAAGAUAUUUGCAGAUUGGCUGGCGUAUGGAUACGAAUACGAUUGACCACAUUCAAGAUUUACUCAACAAUAUCAUGUGCAUAUUUUGUCGCAUAUUUGGAUAACUCGACGAAGUUUGGAGAAUGGUGGAGCCACAAUGAUCUCGCCCCUCACGUUUUUGCUAUCUUCUUUAUAAAUGAAAUGAAAGGCUCACAAUGAUUUUCGAUUUUCUGUUUACUCUUGUAAUACAAUUCUUUUAACAAAAACAUGAGGCAAUAAUAACCCUUAUAUUUGCUUCCUACUUACUAUUAUAUAUAUUCAUUAUUUUAAUCAAAUAAAUUCAUUUUUUUUAAUACGAUGUUAAAUUAUACUCAAAAGAAAAUAAUCACUGGAUGUUAUAAAUAAAUGUAAAAACUUUUCAUAAAAUUUACAAGAGAAUAAAUGGUUCUACCCUUGAUUUCUUCUUGUUUCAAACCAAAGUACUAUGCUACUUCGUAUUUUGAUAUGCACCCACUCUUGAGCGUGUUAAGCCGGCUUCGAAUGUUUUUGUCGAUCAUCUUGACAAGCUUUAAUGAAUUUUGAUGAAUCAGAACCGGAACAUGUAAGGUUCGUAAACGUUAAUUACAUUCCUCAAACGCAAAUGAACGUUCAAUUUAGUAUUUUACUGAAAAAUAUACUUCAUACAUCAUCAGAGAAGCUUACAUGAUUUGCAUGAUAUAUUUAUUCAAAAGGUUUGGUCCAAACCGUUUGGAGUUUGGUCUGAUCACUGAACUCGAACUGGAACGAGCUGGAGAGGUACUUUCUUGACGAUUGUAAGAGUACCAGCUUCUUCAGUAUCAAUAUCUUUAUGUGUCAUCCCAUCAGGCAACUUCCAAUCGAAGAAGUAAAGUAAGUUCAAGAGUCCCAAUUCGACGGCAGCAAUCCCCAUUGGCAUCCCGGGACAUAUCCUUCGACCGGACCCAAAUGGUAAGAGCUCGUAAUGUUGUCCCCUAUAAUCAACAGAGCUAUCCAUAAACCUCUCAGGGUCAAACUCUUCCGGGUUUGUCCAGAGUUUGGGAUCUCUUCCGAUAGCCGAAACAUUGACCAAGAUCCGCCUCUUGGGAGGAAUAUCAUACCCUUGAACUUUGAUGUGAGCCAUUGUUUCUCUUGGAAGUAUAAGAGGAGCUGCCGGGUGUAACCUGAAUGUUUCUUUGAUUACCAUCUUCAAGUAAGGAACUUUAUCGAUAUCUUCCUCGGUGAUUCUCGCCUUAUUGCUGCCAAGUUGUUCUCGGAUCUCGCCUUGAACUUUCUUUAUAAGUUUCGGGUUUUUAACGAGCUCCGUCAUUGCCCAUAUCAUGGUGAGGGCCCCUGUGUCUAUCCCUGCAAGAAAUAUAUUCUAACAACCCACAAGAAAAGUAAGUUAAAGAUUUCGAUCCAAUUACAAUUUUAAUGUGUUUAAAUAACUCUUGAUUACCGCGAGAAACCCCUUAAUAUGAUCUAUUAUGAGCUCUAAGGAACUAUCUUUUCCUUCUUUAUGAAUCGCAUCCAACAUUGAAUCGAUGAUGUCUUCGUGCUCUUUUGAUCUUCCUGGAUUUAAAUGAUCAUCUAUGACAUGUUGAAACAGAGCAUCGAGCUUGUAAAAAACAUCGUUGAGUCUCUUGUGUUGUCCGGAAAACCAAUCAACAAGCCAUCCAAGUCCGGCAACAGGGAAGAAAUCAGAACAAGUGAAACUUGCUAGGGCAGUCUCAGCUUCGAACACGAGCUCUUCGAUCUUUUCUUUAUCGAUAAAAUUGCUCUCAUGAAAAUUCUGUCCUAAGGCAACUCUGAAAAAGAUACUAGCGGUUAGCCAGAAAAGUGAUUUGCUCAAAUCGACCGGAGAGCGAUUAACCGCGGAUUCCGACAGUUGCUUGACCAGAAAGUUACAUUCUUCCUCUCGGAUAUGCCUAAAGGACUGAACCUUUUUCAAACAGAAAAGCUCACGCAGGGCAAACUUACGCCGCGCCUUCCACUCGUUACCGUAUGGCGUAAAACAGACAUCUUUAAAAUUCCGCGAGAGUAACCUUGUCCCGACAAGUUUAGGCCUGCUGCAACAGUCUAGGUCAUGAGUUCUGAGCACUUCUUCAGCUGCUUCUCUUGAUGAGACCACAGUUACAGGGACAAACCCAAAGUGAAGAAGCAUCACAGGUCCGUAUCUUUCGGCGAGAUGUUGAAGUGACCUGUGAGGCAAUUCUCCAAUCUGGUGUAAAUUUCCGAUGACCGGAAACUUUGGAGGGCUUGGAGGA